UACGUAGGGGGCGAGCGUUAAUCGGAAUUACUGGGCGUAAAGUGUGCGCAGGCGGCCGCGCAAGUCGAGUGUGAAAGCCCCGAGCUUAACUUGGGAACUGCGCUCGAAACUACGUGGCUGGAGUGUGGCAGAGGAAGGUGGAAUUCCAGGUGUAGCGGUGAAAUGCGUAGAGAUCUGGAGGAACACCGAUGGCGAAGGCAGCCUUCUGGGCCAACACUGACGCUCAUGCACGAAAGCGUGGGGAGCAAACAGG
rnacentral:rRNA from 1 species